rnacentral:rRNA from 1 species
GACGAACGCUGGCGGCGUGCUUAACACAUGCAAGUCGAACGAAAAAUCAUUGAAAGCUUGCUGAUAUGAUUUUUAGUGGCGGACGGGUGAGUAACGCGUGAGGACUUGUCCAAUACAGGGGGACAACAGUUGGAAACGACUGAUAAUACCCCAUAAGCCUUCGGGUAAAAGGAGCAAUCCGGUAUUGGAGAGACUCGCGUCCUAUCAGCUAGUAGGUGAGGUAACGGCUCACCUAGGCGAAGACGGGUAGCCGGCCUGAGAGGGCGAACGGCCACACUGGAACUGAGACACGGUCCAGACUCCUACGGGAGGCAGCAGUGGGGAAUAUUGGGCAAUGGGGGCAACCCUGACCCAGCGACGCCGCGUGAGUGAAGAAAUCCCUCGGGAUGUAAAGCUCUGUUGUGUGGGAAGAUAAUGACGGUACCACACGAGGAAGCCCCGGCAAACUACGUGCCAGCAGCCGCAGUAAAAC